AUAGCUGGGAAAAAUUUACUUUUCGAGUUAUUCACGUUGAAAGUUUCGACUACGUGGCCCACCUCUAAAACGCAGGAGGUGGCCUAUUUAUCACGUGAUUCUUGGUGCAUUACCGCUGGUCAGUUUUAACCAAUGAGAAUAGAUCACGUGAUCGGGGGAACCAAUAGAAGCGGGGAACAUCUGUCAUUUCGUCUGUGUCCGCAAGGUGUCGCGUCAAGCUUGUAGCAAUCUAGUUUUUUUACCGCCAUGUGGUAAAAGAAUGAAAAGUUGUUUUCAGGGAUACGCAUUCUAUUGGCUGUUGCCGGUCACGUGAUCUGCUCCCAUUGUAAAAACUGACCAGAGCUAAGCUAAAACUGGCAGAGCCAGGGAGUCGAAACUUUAAACGUGAAUAACUCGUAAAACAGCAUGGAGCCGGAGGAAACCGUUUACUUUCUAAAAUUCUAAAAAAUGAAACCAUAACCUUUCGGCAUCCGAUAAUGGCUUAUGCGGUGGCUACUCAAGCUGAAGAUUGACGUAAAGGUCUGAAAUUACAAAAAAAAUUAUAAUUGAAAUAUGUAAGAGUGGAUGAUUAAAUAGUUACCUUCCCACAAUAAUCACAUGCGAGAAUGGGUGAGUUGGGACAAACUUCAACGCUGGAACUAGGAAUUCUAAAGAAUAAUCCGUCCCAAUGUCGCUAUGCCAGUAUAUAAAAGCUCUCAGUCGCCAUCUAUGAUCAGUUUCAUUGACAACGUCAUUCGUCAUUCUAUUUUAAAGUUAUCGUGUGGUCCUGUGGGGCAUCAGAUUUUACAGUCAUCUGUCAUACUUUACAGUCAUCAUACUAGUCCAUCGGCUUGUCUCUUGAGGCAGGCUAGCUUAUCGCCCGAACCAGAAGAUGGUGACAAGGAUGUCGAUGUUGAUCUCUAUCAAGCCGCUGUUCUGAUUUUGGCUCAUUUGGAUCGAUUAGCAUCUCCAUUUAUUCAAACAUUCAAAUCGGAUCGCGUAGUUAUGGAAAAUACUUUAAUUCGAUUGGAUUUGAGCGCCGCUACGGUGGACCCGGGUGGACCGUUUCACAGUAGUCCAGAAACUUCCAAUAACGAUAGAUCAAGUUGUCUGCACAGCCCUUGGUCUCCUGUUUCUUUCCGGCGAUGGCAAAGUGUACACAAUCAGCUAUAACGAUCAAGAACCGGUCAGUUUAGUCUUGCUCAGGAUGAAUUUUGCUUUUUCAUUCGUUAGUUUCAAAGGAUUUUGAGUCACGGAGAUCAAGUGGGCAUUGAUGUUGGGCAUCACGGCUGCUCCUUACCUGUGUUGCAGCGUUUGAAGAACCACGUUAUUGCUCUUGCAGGGGAAAUCCAAAUCUGGGUGCCGUACAAGAUACAGCUCAAGCUUUUCUCCAAUUGGCUUGGAGUCUUCUUUUGCCUACUGCUUCAGAAAGAGCUUCAGCAUUGCCCACACUUUUGCAAAGAGACGACGAAUAUGAUAGUUGUGGUGGACGUUUCAUGGCCGAUUUAUUGGUGAUUUCCAUGAUGGCGGACGGAGGGUUACAAGCAGCUUUCGAAGCUUCGUUGCUAGCUGAAGCAAAUGAUCUUGAGAUAAACGGCCGAUGCAAUAACGACGCGGUAUUGAGAAUAGGGGAUGGCGCAAAAAAAUAAAAAAAAUAAUAAAACAUACUAUAAAUAAGAGAAAAAAAAA
rnacentral:misc_RNA from 1 species